rnacentral:rRNA from 1 species
AGUGAACGCUGGCGGCAGGCCUAACACAUGCAAGUCGAACGGCAGCAGAGUACGUGCUUGCUCUUACGGGUGUGGAGUGGGGGGCGGGUCGGGUAGAUAUCCGGAUUUGUUGUGGCGGAGGGCAUAAGGUAGGGAAAGUUACUCCAAUAUAACAGACGACGUAGGGGGGCAAUCAUGGGAUCUUCGGAAUUUACGCGAUACCAGGUGGCGAUGUCUGAUUAGCUAGUUGGGGGGGUAAAGGCCCACCAAGGCGACGAUCCGUAGCGGGUCUGAGAGGAUGAUCAGCCACACUGGAACUGAGACACGGUCCAGACUCCUACGGGAGGCAGCAGUGGGGAAUAUUGGACAAUGGGCGAAAGCCUGAUCCAGCCAUACCGCGUGGGUGAAGAAGGUCUUCGGGUUGUAAAGCCCUUUGGUUGGGAAGGAAGAGCAGCAGGUUAAUACCUUGCUGUUCUGACGGUACCAAAAGAAUAAGCACCGGCUAACUUCGUG